rnacentral:rRNA from 1 species
GAUGAACGCUGGCGGCGUGCCUAAUACAUGCAAGUCGAGCGAACGGACGAGAAGCUUGCUUCCCUGAUGUUAGCGGCGGACGGGUGAGUAACACGUGGAUAACCUACCUAUAAGACUGGGAUAACUUCGGGAAACCGGAGCUAGUACCGGAUGAUAUUUUGAACCGCAUGGUUCAAAAGUGAAAGACGGUUUUGCUGUCACUUAUAGAUGGAUCCGCGCUGCAUUAGCUAGUUGGUAAGGUAACGGCUUACCAAGGCAACGAUGCAUAGCCGACCUGAGAGGGUGAUCGGCCACACUGGAACUGAGACACGGUCCAGACUCCUACGGGAGGCAGCAGUAGGGAAUCUUCCGCAAUGGGCGAAAGCCUGACGGAGCAACGCCGCGUGAGUGAUGAAGGUCUUCGGAUCGUAAAACUCUGUUAUUAGGGAAGAACAUAUGUGUAAGUAACUGUGCACAUCUUGACGGUACCUAAUCAGAAAGCCACGGCUAACUACGUG